rnacentral:rRNA from 6 species
CCCAGACAGCCAGGAUGUUGGCUUAGAAGCAGCCAUCAUUUAAAGAAAGCGUAAUAGCUCACUGGUCGAGUCGGCCUGCGCGGAAGAUGUAACGGGGCUAAACCAUGCACCGAAGCUGCGGCAGCGACACUCAGGUGUUGUUGGGUAGGGGAGCGUUCUGUAAGCCUGUGAAGGUGGCCUGUGAGGGUUGCUGGAGGUAUCAGAAGUGCGAAUGCUGACAUAAGUAACGAUAAAGCGGGUGAAAAGCCCGCUCGCCGGAAGACCAA